UUCAGUGCGAUGAUUAUAAUGAAAUUCCUCGUUCUGAAUGCCAAAGGCAUGACAGACUUCAAAUCACCCAUAGAAUAUGAGCACCG
rfam:Picea glauca, whole genome shotgun sequence.